rnacentral:lncRNA from 1 species
UUCUCUCAAACACCCCUUGGUUCACGGCAGCCAAAGUCCCCAUUCAACACACCUUCAAGCUUCAAUUAACACUCCAUUUUACACUAAAUUAAACCUUACAAGAUCAUCUAAACAUGGAGUAUACAUGAAGAACCAUUAGGAGCUUUCUUGGGGGCUUAUCUUUCCUCUAAUCUUCUUAUUUAGCUUGUACACUUUCUUAAAGUGUAUAAUUAUGAUGAUCUUGUUGUCGUUGCGCAACAGUUGGAUAUUUGGAUUACUUGGUAUUGUGACGCACUCACUGUGA